rnacentral:rRNA from 1 species
UUCCGGUUGAUCCUGCCGGAGGCGACCGCUUUUGGAGUUCGAUUAAGCCAUGCGAGUAGAAAGGAAUUAGAUUCUUUGCGAACUGCUCAGUAACACGUGGAUAACCUGCCCUAUGCUCUGGAACAACCUCGGGAAACUGAGAAUAAUACCGGAUAGAUCACAACGCCUGGAACGGUGUGUGGUUGAAAGAUUACGGCAUAGGAUGGGUCUGCGGCGUAUCAGGUUGUAGGGGGUGUAACGGACCUCCUAGCCAUCGACGCGUACGGGUGUUGGGAGACAUAGCCCGGAGAUGGAUUCUGAGACACGAAUCCAGACCCUACGGGGUGCAGCAGGCGCGAAAACUUCACACUGCAGGAAACUGUGAUGAGGGAACUCCAAGUGCGCGCACUUAGUGUGCGCUUUUGUUGACUAUUAAUCGGUCAAUGAAUAAGGGCUGGGAAAGACCGGUGCCAGCCGCCGCGGUAAUACCGGCAGCUCAAGUGGUCGUCGCUUUUAUUGGGCCUAAAACGUCCGUAGCCUGUUUGGUAAAUCUGUGGGUAAAUCAACCAGCUUAACUGGUUGAAUUCUGCAGAGACUGCCAGACUAGGGACCGGGAGUGGUGUGGGGUACUCCAGGGGUAGGGGUAAAAUCCUGUCAUCCUUAGAGGACCACCAGUUGCGAAGGCGCCACACUGGAACGGAUUCGACGGUCAGGGACGAAGCCUAGGGGCACGAACCGGAUUAGAUACCCGGGUAGUCCUAGGUGUAAACGCUGUGAACUUGGUGUCGGGGAUCCGUAAUGGGUCCCCGGUGCCGGAGUGAAGAUGUUAAGUUCACUGCCUGGGGAGUACGGUCGCAAGGCUGAAACUUAAAGGAAUUGGCGGGGCAGCAC